AACGAACGCUGGCGGCAUGCCUAACACAUGCAAGUCGAACGAUUGCCUUCGGGUGAUAGUGGCGCACGGGUGCGUAACGCGUGGGAAUCUGCCUUUAUGUUCGGAAUAUCACCUGGAAACGGCUUCUAAUACCGGAUGAUAUUGCGAGAUCAAAGAUUUAUCGCCUGAGUAUGCGCCCGCGUUGGUUUAGGUAGUUGGUGGGGUAAAGGCCUACCAAGCCGACGAUCCAUAGCUGGUCUGAGGAGAUGAUAAGCCACUCUGGGUCUGAGACACGGCCCAGAAUGAGACGGGAGGGAGGAGAGGGGAAGAUGGGAGAAGGGGCGAGAGUCUAAGACAGCAAUGCGGGGGAAGAGAGGAAGGGGGUAGGGUUGUAAAGAUCUUUGAGACGAGAGGAGAAUGACAGGAACGGGAAAAGAAGCUACGGAUAACUACGUG
rnacentral:rRNA from 1 species